rnacentral:lncRNA from 1 species
ACUGGAAGAGUCUACAGAAGAGGAGGCACCAGUAUUUGUGUUAGAAGCCAUAGUCAAUGAACCGGCUUAAAAGAACAAUUUUUCAACAAACAGAGUGUAGCCAAAUCAGGUAUUCACACACAACAACCAACAAACAGAGUAUAACCAAAUCAGGUACUCACACGCAACACCAGAUACUCACAUACAGAGAAUCAAAUAAUCACAUACAAUACCAAAGAUAAGGACAGAGUUACCCUCCUUCUUCGCGACCGGAGAAGAUCGACCUUCAAACAACAGAUAAAACCCUAGGUCCAACACCGGAAAUCGUAGGUUCUGAAACUCACCAGAAUAAGGUCAUGGACGUCGGAAAGUUACCCAAAACGUCUAUCAAGCGAAGAUAAAGUCAUCGGAUAACAUCAAAACUUUAAAGGACAGAGUUACCCUCCUUCUUCGCGACCGGAGAAGAUCGACCUUCAAACAACAGAGAAAACCCUAGGUACAAAACCCUAGGUGUAACCUUUGAAGUCCUUACUGAAAUGUGGUCAGGAAUGUCGGAAAGGCACCCAAAACAUCCAUUGAGUGAGAAUCGAGCCACCGGAUAGCAGUAGAACUCUAGGUUAAACCACCAGAAACCCUAGAAGCCGAUAGGUC